UACGUAGGGUGCAAGCGUUAAUCGGAAUUACUGGGCGUAAAGCGUGCGCAGGCGGUUUUGUAAGUCUGAUGUGAAAUCCCCGGGCUCAACCUGGGAAUUGCAUUGGAGACUGCAAGGCUAGAAUCUGGCAGAGGGGGGGUAGAAUUCCACGUGUAGCAGUGAAAUGCGUAGAGAUGUGGAGGAACACCGAUGGCGAAGGCAGCCCCCUGGGUCAAGAUUGACGCUCAUGCACGAAAGCGUGGGGGAGCAAACAGGGAUUAGA
rnacentral:rRNA from 1 species